rnacentral:rRNA from 1 species
UAGGGAAUCUUCGGCAAUGGACGAAAGUCUGACCGAGCAACGCCGCGUGAGUGAAGAAGGUUUUCGGAUCGUAAAACUCUGUUGUUAGAGAAGAACAAGGACGUUAGUAACUGAACGUCCCCUGACGGUAUCUAACCAGAAAGCCACGGCUAACUACGUGCCAGCAGCCGCGGUAAUACGUAGGUGGCAAGCGUUGUCCGGAUUUAUUGGGCGUAAAGCGAGCGCAGGCGGUUUCUUAAGUCUGAUGUGAAAGCCCCCGGCUCAACCGGGGAGGGUCAUUGGAAACUGGGAGGCUUGAGUGCAGAAGAGGAGAGUGGAAUUCCAUGUGUAGCGGUGAAAUGCGUAGAUAUAUGGAGGAACACCAGUGGCGAAGGCGGCUCUCUGGUCUGUAACUGACGCUGAGGCUCGAAAGCGUAGGGAGCAAACAGG